GCACAAGCGGUGGAGCAUGUGGAUUAAUUCGAUGCAACGCGAAAAACCUUACCUGGCCUUGACAUGUAUGGAAUCCUGCUGAGAGGUGGGAGUGCCCGAAAGGGAGCCAUAACACAGGUGCUGCAUGGCUGUCGUCAGCUCGUGUCGUGAGAUGUUGGGUUAAGUCCCGCAACGAGCGCAACCCUUGUCCCUAGUUGCUACGCAAGAGCACUCUAGGGAGACUGCCGGUGACAAACCGGAGGAAGGUGGGGAUGACGUCAAGUCCUCAUGGCCCUUAUGGGUAGGGCUUCACACGUCAUACAAUGGUCGGAACAGAGGGUCGCCAACCCGCGAGGGGGAGCCAAUCCCAGAAAACCGAUCGUAGUCCGGAUCGCACUCUGCAACUCGAGUGCGUGAAGCUGGAAUCGCUAGUAAUCGCGGAUCAGCGUGCCGCGGUGAAUACGUUCCCGGGC
rnacentral:rRNA from 1 species